GCAGGGGUAGCAAAGUGGUCAAAUGCGCAGGACUCAAGAUCCUGUGGCUUAGUGCCUUCGGGGGUUCGAAUCCUCCCCCCUGCA
rnacentral:tRNA from 1 species